rnacentral:rRNA from 1 species
GCGGCCGACAUCUGAUUAGCUAGUUGGUGGGGUAAAGGCCUACCAAGGCGACGAUCGGUAGCUGGUCUGAGAGGAUGGUCAGCCACACUGGGACUGAGACACGGCCCAGACUCCUACGGGAGGCAGCAGUUAGGAAAUUUUGCCAAUGGGGGAAACCCUGAGCGAGUAACGCCGCGUGGAGGAUGAAGGCCUUCGGGUUGUAAACUUCUUUUCUGUGGGACGAUGAUAACGGUACCACAGGAAUCAGCCCCGGCUAACUACGUGCCAGCAGCCGCGGUAAUACGUAGGGGGCGAGCGUUGUCCGGAAUUACUGGGCGUAAAGAGCGCGUAGGCGGCCCGAUAAGUUCUGUGUGAAAGCUCCCGGCUCAACUGGGAAGGGACGCGGAAAACUGUGGGGCUGGAGUGUCGGAGAGGGAAGUGGAAGUCCCGGAGUAGGGGUGAAAUCCGUAGAGACCGGGCCGAACACCAGUGGCGAAGGCGACUUCCUGGCCGACGACUGACGCUGAGGCGCGAAAGCGUGGGGAGCGAACGGGAUUAGAUACCCCGGUAGUCCACGCCGUAAACGAUGGAUACUAGGUGUUGGUGGUAUCGACCCCACCAGUGCCGGCGCACACGCAGUAAGUAUCCCGCCUGGGGAGUACGGCCGCAAGGCUAAA